GGGACACGUGGUAUCCUGUCUGAAUAUGGGGGGACCAUCCUCCAAGGCUAAAUACUCCUGACUGACCGAUAGUGAACCAGUACCGUGAGGGAAAGGCGAAAAGAACCCCGGCGAGGGGAGUGAAAAAGAACCUGAAACCGUGUACGUACAAGCAGUGGGAGCACAGAGCAAUCUGUGUGACUGCGUACCUUUUGUAUAAUGGGUCAGCGACUUAUAUUCUGUAGCAAGGUUAACCGAAUAGGGGAGCCGAAGGGAAACCGAGUC
rnacentral:rRNA from 1 species